rnacentral:rRNA from 1 species
AUUGAACGCUGGCGGCAGGCUUAACACAUGCAAGUCGAGCGGAGCGGCGGACGGGUGAGUAAUGCCUAGGAAUCUGCCUGGUAGUGGGGGAUAACGUCCGGAAACGGGCGCUCAUACCGCAUACUAUCAGAUGAGCCUAGGUCGGAUUAGCUAGUUGGUGGGGUAACGGCCUACCAAGGCGACGAUCCGUAGCUGGUCUGAGAGGAUGAUCAGUCACACUGGAACUGAGACACGGUCCAUACUCCUACGGGAGGCAGCAGUGGGGAAUAUUGGACAAUGGGCGAAAGCCUGAUCCAGCCAUGACGCGUGUGUGAAGAAGGUCUUCGGAUUGUAAAGCACUUUAAGUUGGGAGGCGUUACCAACAGAAUAAGCACCGGCUAACUUCGUGCCAGCCGCCGCGGUAAUAC